UACGGAGGAUCCAAGCGUUAUCCGGAAUUACUGGGCGUAAAGAGUUGCGUAGGUGGCAUGGUAAGUUGGUAGUGAAAGCGUGCGGCUCAACCGCAUAUACAUUACCAAAAACUGCCAAGCUAGAGGACGAGAGAGGUACCUGGAAUUCCCAGUGUAGGAGUGAAAUCCGUAGAUAUUGGGAGGAACACCGAUGGCGUAGGCAGGGUACUGGCUCGUUCCUGACACUAAGGCACGAAAGCGUGGGUAGCAAACGGG
rnacentral:rRNA from 1 species